AAAUUGAAGAGUUUGAUCAUGGCUCAGAUUGAACGCUGGCGGCAGGCCUAACACAUGCAAGUCGAACGGUAACAGGAAGAAGCUUGCUUCUUUGCUGACGAGUGGCGGACGGGUGAGUAAUGUCUGGGAAACUGCCUGAUGGAGGGGGAUAACUACUGGAAACGGUAGCUAAUACCGCAUAACGUCGCAAGACCAAAGAGGGGGACCUUCGGGCCUCUUGCCAUCGGAUGUGCCCAGAUGGGAUUAGCUAGUAGGUGGGGUAACGGCUCACCUAGGCGACGAUCCCUAGCUGGUCUGAGAGGAUGACCAGCCACACUGGAACUGAGACACGGUCCAGACUCCUACGGGAGGCAGCAGUGGGGAAUAUUGCACAAUGGGCGCAAGCCUGAUGCAGCCAU
rnacentral:rRNA from 1 species